CCGAGCCGCGGUGGGAGGCGCGGGACCCGCGUGGCGGCCCUGGUGGCCGCGGGGUGGCACGUGUGCCCCGGGGGCGUCGCCCGGCCGCCAGGCGUCUCCGGUGUCACGGGAGUGGGCGGGGCCGCUGGCCUCUGGAGCCGCCUGACGCCCCGGGGAGCAGUGCGGACCCUUGCGGAGAGAGGGGAGUGUGUGGCUUCCGUGCCUGCCGAGAACCAUCAGAAACUCUCUGCCGCAUCCGCUGAGGCUGCUCCCAAGCCUGGCCAGACUGUGGACUGCUCUGCACGAGACCCUGUGAAGAACCCAUUUCACGGAUGAAGACUGAGGCCCACAGAGCUGAACGAUGCCCAAGGCCAUGGGAAGUGGCUGUGUGUACACAGGACCGAACCAGGGUCUGCAUGAUCUCCCCUCCCUCCUUUUCCUUCUUUCCUUCUUUCCUUCCUUCCUUCCACCCAUCCAGCAUCCAUUUACCCCAUCCCUCCACUGAUCCAUCCAUCCAUCCGUCUGUCCGUCCAUCUACCAUCCAGUGUAGACGUUGGGGUCGGGAGUCUGGCAAGAAACAACCAAUGGAAGGAGAGAGGCAGAAAGUGCUAGAGAAACAGGCUGAGAAGGGCUUGAGGUGUAUGUGUAGGGGAGGGGAGCUGUGUGGCCAGCAGGGAUGCGGCCCCCAUGGCCCCCAGCCCUCUUCCACGGGGAGGUGUCCCAGGGGCCCUGAGGCCAGGCCAUCCCUCCUCCUGAGCCUCCAGGAGGCCGGUCUGAGCCAACCCUUUGCACCCGCCGCGCCUCUCAGACCCCGUGUCGACACCUGCGGGCAGCGAGACUGAGGCGCGAGGAGGGAGGGUGUCAGGGACCCAGGAAGGCCCUUGCCCCUCCCCGGGUCUCACUGAUGUCCUGGUGGCCUCACGGCUACCUGGGGUAAGCCCUGGGGGACAGCUGGACAGACAGAUGGAUUGAGCCACCGCAGGCCAGGCUGGGGCUGAGAAUUCACUUGUUCAUUCAAUCAUCCGGUCAUUCAUUCAUUCACCCCUCGUCCAUCACCCGUCCGCCAUCAUCCACCCACCCAUCCACCCUGAACAGGUUUUUGGUAUCUGACUGCAAACUGGGGAGCUGGCUGGGUUUCCGAGCCCUGGACCGUGGGAGCCACAGCUGGAUGAGGGAGGGAUCUGCCCAAGGUCACAGAGCAAACUAGCCCAGGAACCAUUGCUGACCCGACCCCUGGAGGCUCUGUGCACUCACUCUGUGUACACCCUGGGGUCCACCCCCAGAGUCCUGUGAGUGUGGAGACCAUCACCCUGCUCCCCACUCCCACCUGCCAGCCGCCCCGGGCCUAAGAAAGCCGGGGGGGAAGGGUCCUCACACCCCACCGGUGCCCCCCCCCAAACGGCGGAGACAAGCGGCCUGGCGGCUGAUAGGGUGAUGUGGGGCGGGAGGCGCGUGGGGGAGGGAACUGGGGCCCAUCAGCUGAGCUCGAUAAGGGGCCCGCUGAAAUGUU